UCGGGAAUUUUGGGCAAUGGGCGAAAGCCUGAUCCAGCAAUGCCGCGUGAGUGAUGAAGGCCUUAGGGUUGUAAAGCUCUUUUACCAGGGAUGAUAAUGACAGUACCUGGAGAAUAAGCUCCGGCUAACUCCGUGCCAGCAGCCGCGGUAAUACGGAGGGAGCUAGCGUUGUUCGGAAUUACUGGGCGUAAAGCGUACGUAGGCGGUGACUCAAGUCAGAGGUGAAAGCCUGGAGCUCAACUCCAGAACUGCCUUUGAAACUAGGUCGCUAGAAUCACGGAGAGGUGAGUGGAAUUCCGAGUGUAGAGGUGAAAUUCGUAGAUAUUCGGAAGAACACCAGUGGCGAAGGCGGCUCACUGGACGUGUAUUGACGCUGAGGUACGAAAGCGUGGGGAGCAAACAGGAUUAGAUACCCAAGUAGUCCCUGAGCGGGCUGGCAAGGCGCAU
rnacentral:rRNA from 1 species